rnacentral:rRNA from 1 species
UACAGAGGGUGCGAGCGUUAAUCGGAAUUACUGGGCGUAAAGCGCACGUAGUCGGCUUUGCAAGUCGGGUGUGAAAUCCCCGGGCUCAACCUGGGAACUGCAUCCGAGACUGCAUUGCUAGAGUAUGGGAGAGGGAAGCGGAAUUUCUGGUGUAGCAGUGAAAUGCGUAGAUAUCAGAAGGAACAUCAGUGGCGAAGGCGGCCUCCUGGACCAAUACUGACGAUCAGGUGCGAAAGCGUGGGGAGCAAACAGG